rnacentral:pre_miRNA from 11 species
CCUCCCAUCAGAGUGGUUGUGAUGUGGUAACUUGGACUCGUAUCACAGCCAGCUUUGAUGAGCGGAA